UUUACAUAGUAAAUCAAGUUGACGGAUGCAUGUGCAUGCAUCCUCACAUAAACGCGUGGGUCCGCCUCUGUAUACGACCCCAAGUACCUUCAAUUAUUCAAUUGAGAAGGUAAUGAAUAGGCACUAGCAAACAUAGUUGUACUAAUUGCAAAUUCUUGUUUGCAAAUUUACUAGCAAAAGAGAAAGAUUGAGAGAUAUCAGUGAUCAUUCUUGUUUGGGAAUUACUCUUAGCAUUCAACAGAUUUCAGAAAUGGAGGUAGUUGGUGGAGCAUUUCUCUCUUCAGCUUUGAAUGUUCUCUUUGAUAGGCUUGCUCCUGAGGGUGAUCUGCUCAACAUGUUUAAGAUGGACAAGCGUGAUGUUCGGCUCUUAAAGAAGCUGAGGAUGACUUUGAUUGGUCUUCAAGCUGUGCUAAGUGAUGCAGAGAAUAAGCAGACAUCAAAUCAAUUUGUGAGCCAGUGGCUUAAUGAGUUUCGACAUGCUGUCGACUCUGCUGAAAACUUAAUGGAAGAGGUCAAUUAUGAAGCUUUGAGGAUCAAGGUGGAAGGUCCGCAUCAAAAUCUUGCAGAAACAAGCAAUUACCAGCAAGUAAGUGACCUCAACCUGUGCUUGAGUGAUGAUUUCUUUCUUAAAAUUAAGGAGAAGUUGGAAGAUACUAUUGAAACAUUGAAGGAUUUGCAAGAGCAAAUUGGUGACCUUGGGUUAAAGGAGCAUUUUGGUUCGACUAAACAAGAAACUAGAACACCUUCAACUUCUUUGGUUGAUGAUUCUGAUAUCUUUGGCUUUGGUAGGCACAAGGAAAUAAAGGAUUUGAUUGACCUUUUAUUGUCUGAAGAUGCAAGUGGAGGAAACCUGACUGUAGUUCCUAUUGUUGGAAUGGGCGGUGCGGGUAAGACAACACUAGCUAAAGCGGUUUACAAUGAUGAGAAGGUGAAGAACCAUUUUGGUUUGAAAGCUUGGUAUUGUGUUUCUGAGCCAUAUGAUGCUUUGAGAAUAACGAAAGGGUUACUUCAAGAAAUUGGCUCAUUUGACUCAAAGGAUGAUGGCAAUCUUAAUCAGCUACAGGUCAAAUUGAAGGAAAGCCUGAAGGGAAAGAAGUUUCUUGUUGUCCUUGAUGAUGUGUGGAAUGAUGACUAUAGUGAGUGGGAUAACCUGAGAAAUGUUUUUGUACAAGGAGAUAUGGGAAGUAAGAUCAUUGUAAUUACACGUAAGGAGAGUGUUGCUCAGACGAUGUGUGCUGAUUGUUGCGCAAUCACCGUGGGGACUCUGUCUAGUGAAGACCCUUGGGCUUUAUUCAAACGACAUUCACUAGAAAAUAGGGAACAUCCAGAACUUGAAGAGGUUGGGAAAAAAAUUGCAGUGAACUGCAAAGGGUUGCCUUUAGCUCUAAAGGCACUUGCUGGUGUUUUGCGCGGCAAAUCAGAGGUGGACAAGUGGAGAAACAUUUUAAAAAGUGAAAUAUGGAAGCAGCCAAUUCGUUUGAAUGGUAUACUGCCAGCAUUGAGGUUGAGCUACAAUGAUCUUCUUCCAGAUUUGAAGCGAUGUUUUGCUUUUUGUUCAAUAUAUCCCAAAGAUUAUCAAUUCCGCAAAAACCAAGUUAUUUACCUGUGGAUUGCUAAUGGUCUUGUAAAGCAGUUUUGUUUAGGUAACGAAUACUUUGACGAGUUGAGAUCAAGAUCAUUGUUCGAACGGGUCCCAGAGUCUGAUUGGCUAUCGGAGAGAUUCAUAAUGCAUGACCUUAUCAAUGAUUUGGCCCAAACUGCAUCUUCAAAACUUUGUAUUAGGUUGGAAGAGAGCAAAGGAUCUGAUUAUAUGUUGGAACAAAGUCGGCACAUGUCCUAUUCCACUGCCAAAGUUGGUGACUUUGAGAAAUUGAAACCACUCUCCAAAUUAGAGCAGCUGCGGACAUUGCUUCCAACCAAUGACAGUUACUUUAAUCAGCUAAGCAAGAGGGUGUUGCAUAACAUACUUCCAAGACUGACAUCCUUAAGGGCAUUAUCAUUGUCUCGUUACUAUAUUGAUGAGUUGCCAAAUGACUUGUUUAUCAAAUUAAAUCUCCUCAGAUUUUUGGACCUUUCUCGGACAGAUAUUAGACAGUUGCCAGAUUCUAUUUGUGCAUUGUAUAACUUGGAAACACUUCUCCUGUCAUCUUGUCAAAAUCUUGGGGAGCUACCGCUGCAGAUGGAGAAGUUGAUCAACUUGCGUCACCUCGACAUAACCAACACUCUUCGCUUCAAGAUGCCGCUACAUCUGAGCAAGUUGAAAAGUCUCCAAAUGCUAGUGGGAGCCAAGUUUCUUAUAGGUGGUAGCGGUGAUUUGAGAAUGGAAGAUUUGGGUGAAGUACAUAACUUGUAUGGAUCUCUAUCAGUUUUAGAGUUGCAAAAUGUGGUUGAUAAAAGGGAAGCUCUCAAGGCAAAGAUAAGGGAGAAGAAUCAUGUUGACAAGUUAUUAUUGAAGUGGAGUGAAAGUAGUACUGCCGCCGCCGAUUCUCAAACUGAAAGAGAGAUACUUGAUGAGCUACACCCACACACAAAUAUUAAACAACUCCAAAUCACCGGAUAUAGAGGGACAAAAAUUUCAAAUUGGCUAGCUGAUCCUUUGUUUCUUAAGCUUGUAGAAUUGUCUCUUAGCAACUGCAAGGACUGUGAUUCUUUGCCAGCACUAGGACAGCUUCCUUCUUUGAGAUUCCUUUACAUUAGAGGGAUGCAUGGAAUAACAGAGGUGAUGGAAGAAUUCUAUGGUAAUUCAUCCUCCAAAAAGCCUUUUAACUCUCUUGAGAAGCUUGAAUUUGCAGAUAUGCCAGAGUGGAAGCAAUGGCACGUACUAGGAAGUGGCGAGUUCCCUUUACUUGAGUACCUUUCAAUUAAAAAAUGUCCAAAGUUGAUGGGGAAGUUGCCUGAAAAUCUUUGUUCUCUGACAAAAUUAAAAAUUUCAGAGACACCUCUUUUUGAGGAAGCUCAACUGUUUAGAUCCCAAUUUGAGGGAAUGAAGCAGAUUGUUGAAUUAGAUAUUAGUGAUUGUAACUCUCUUACUUCCUUACCUUUUAGCAUACUGCCCAGUUCCUUGAAGAUAAUAGACAUAUAUAGGUGUGAGAAAUUGAAAUUGGAGGAGCCAGUUGGUUAUUGUAAUAUGUUUCUCGAGGAAUUGAAACUCCGACAUUGUGAUUGUAUAGAUGAGUUUCUCCCAAGAGCACGCAAAUUGUCUAUUUCGAGUUGCCAGAACGUUACUAGGUUUUUGAUUCCUACUGCCACUGAAAGUCUCUGUAUUUUUAGUUGUAAGAAUCUUGAAAUACUUUCGGUGGCAGUUGAGUCUGCGAUGACGUCUUUGGAAAUUUGGGAUUGUGAGAAGCUCAAGUGUCUGCCAGAAAUAGAGCUCUUCAAUUUACAAGUCCUUAAGAUCAGUGAUUGCAAGAAACUCGUGAACGGCAGAAAGGAGUGGUGUUUACAGAGAUUCCCAUGUCUCACAGAGUUAAGCAUCUACCAUGAUGGAAGUGACGAAGAGAUCCAACAUUGGGAGUUGCCUUCCUCUAUUAAAAGACUUACCAUGAAGAAUCUGAAAACAUUAAGCAGCCAAGUUCUCAAAAGCCUCACCUCUCUUCAAUAUCUAUCUAUUGCUGAUUUACCUCAAAUUCAGUCACUGCUGGAAGAAGGUCGGCUUCCCUCCUCUCUUUCUGAGCUACAUUUAUAUCACCAUGAUGAGCUCCAUUCACUACAUCUUUGCCACCUCACUUCACUUCUAAGUCUACACAUCUUUAAUUGCCCUAAUCUCCAAUCACUCUCCGAAUCAACACUGCCCUCCUCCCUCUCUCAGCUGACCAUAGAUGAUUGCCCUAAUCUCCAAUCACUCUCCGAAUCAACACUGCCCUCCUCCCUCUCUAAGCUGACCAUCCGGAGAUGCCCUAAACUUCAAUCACUCUCCGAAUUAGCACUGCCCUCCUCCCUCUCUCAGCUGACCAUAGAUAAUUGCCCUAAUCUCCAAUCCCUUCCAGUAAAAGGGAUGCUCUCUUCCCUCUCUGAUCUAUAUAUUCACAACUGCCCAUUGCUCAAACCACUACUAGAAUUUGACAAGGGGAAAUACUGGCCAAAUAUUGCUCAAAUUCCCACCAUAUUUAUCAAUAGGGAAUGCAUGUGAUGAUUAAAACAAAUGGUGCUCCCACUGAUUGUGGAAUGUCUUUUGCUCAAUCCACACCGAAAAUUGCUCAUACUUCCACCAUAAAUGUUGAUUGGGAGAACCUGUAAUGAUUAUCACAAGUGGUGCUCCGAUAGAUAGAUGAGAAAAAUGUACAUAUACAUUCUAAAACUUCAUACAGAGCUUGCAAUGUGAUGGGAACGGAUGUUUAAAAUCUUUGCGGAGGCAAUUAUUGAAGGAAUUCAGCAAGUUUUUACUGAUUUACAUACUUUGGACUGAAAUAUCUCCACCAUAGAAGUCGAUGGAGAAUACAUUUAAUGAUUAAAGCGAAUGAUGCUCUCACAAAUGAUUUUGGUAACAGUAUAUGUAAGCUAUUACCGCUCUAGCUCAGUUUGUACCAGGAAAGUUCUGCUGCAAUUCUCUAUUGAAUAGACCGUUGCUACAAUGUGGUCUGACAGCAAAGUACUUGCUGCAAAUGGGACGUACAGCUCUGAUGGAACCCAAAGAUAUGUAGUUGCAGAGAUAAAGCAUAUGACAAUCUGGCUCGGAAAGAACAGUUUGACAUCCAAGACAGUGAAGAGCUUAAUAGAAUGAAGGAAGAAAAUGUCAAUCUGCAAGAAAAGCUGAAUAAUACAGUAAGGAGGUUGUGAUUUCCAAGUCGUACAGCUGUCUACUGUGGCUUCCUUGAGAUGAAACAUGACUUGCUGCAAAUGGAAUGUCAAGCUCUAAUGUACCCAAAGGCCGGAUGAGGACAAAACCAUGGCUGUUCACGCUUCAACUCAGUUUCCUGAGUAUACGCAUAGUUUGAUUGAUGUUGUCUUGGUGUUCCCGAACAUAAUAUCUGUGUGAUAACAGGAAGGGCUGAAGGUGGCUUUGGCGGCAAGAAAUAUGCCAGUGAGUACCCACAAGGAUUUUCGUUUAAAGCUACAGAUAAAAAAGGCCUUUUUGUUUAAAGUUGUUGCUUGGAAAUAGUUUUGCUCCUUUCA